UGCCGAUUUCACAGCAGAAAUAAACAUGUUUACAGCCUGGUUCCAAAACAUGUUUUUUGUCUAAAUUAUCUAGUUUAUACUCAUGACAACUCUGAGGGGGGUGAAUUCUUUUCUCACUCUUCUGUUUAAGUGUAUUGAAAGCCUAAAAUUCUGUAUAAUUAAUGAGCAUCCGACACACGUGACCACCGCCUCAGACCCACGUGACCACAGAGCUAGCUCCGUGGAAAGGCCUCAGUACAGCCUCGGUCCCUCCUGGAAACUGUGUCGGGAUUUUGAGUCUCUGUGCUUGUGAAUUCUGUUUUGGAUAUUAUUGGUGCAAUUGUUGGACAAAAUGACUUGCUGUGGUAUUAAUUGCACUAAUAGAGCGUCCAAGGAGUCUCCACUUCAUUUUUUUCGGGAAGGACCUGAUUGGUGUCCAGAACCUGCUUAAGAAGCACCAGGCUCUGCAGGCUGAGAUCACAGGUCAUGAACCUCGCAUCAAGGCUGUCACCCAGAAAGGAGAGACCAUGGUGGAAGAAGGUCACUUCGCUGGUGAGUAAGUGAAGACUAAACUGUGGGAGCUUCAUGGACGUUGGGACACGCUGAAGGCCAAGGCGUCCCAGAGGAGGCAGGACCUGGAGGACUCUCUGCAGGCCCAGCAGUACUUUGCGGAUGCUAAUGAGGCCGAGUCCUGGAUGAGGGAGAAGGAGCCCAUCGUUGGAAGUCCAGACUAAGGGAAAGACGAGGACUUGGCCGAGGUAUGGAAGUCCCUUCCUGAGAAACUCCAAUCGCUUUUCUUUGCUCUCUUUCCAGUCCUUCAUAAUUAGUGUUUCUGUAUUUGUCAUUUCCUUCGGUUGUCUACCAGACGUCGUUGCUCGUUUGAGCGUCUCAUGGGUUAGGGGUAGAAGUGCUGGCCUCGCACAGGAAGUGAUGACAAACGUGUUCCCGUCGCUCUUAUUUCAAACGGUUUACAAGCUGUGAUGUGUGUUCCCGCUGCAGAGCAGCCAUGACACGUGGCAGCCAGCAGAAGGCUCACGCUUUUCCACUAAACACCCGCAGAGCUGCGUCUGCGGUGAACUGAGCAGGGUUUGUUUUACGGUGGCGGAUCCGAUUGGACCAUCGCUGCGAGAAAGCUCCACUUGUGUCAGACGAGCUGAAGGUUCUGAUGUUCUGCUCCACAGGCUCUCCUGAAGAAGCACGAGGCCCUGAUGUCGGACCUGUCGGCUUACAGCAGCAGCAUCCAGGCCCUGAAGGAGCAGGCCCAGUCCUGCAGGGUGAGUUCAGAACCCUCGGCCCGUCAGAACAUUCUUAUCCACCACGUUCUAACACCAGACCUGUUAACCCGACAGCAACAAGGUAAUCAGCAGGUGCUUUUGUCCUGCAGGACCUGAAGGCCAACGAGUCCCGCCUGAGGGACAUCAACAAGGUGGCAUCUGAACUGGAGUCAGAAGGUCUGAUGGCUGAGGAGGCUCCUAUGGUUCAGGCUCAGGUGAGCGUCACCUGUCUGCAGCAGCUGGUCCCUCUCACUUCCUGGUUUAACUCUGCUCGUCUCUGUUUGUAGCAACAAGAACAUCUGGGUUCUGCUCCUGGAAAGGUGCAUGUUGUCCUCCGCCUCCACCAGAACCAGACGUGGUGUUUUUGUUACCACUCAUUUGUUUGUUUGUUUGUUUGUUUACAGGAUGAAGCUGACUCUAACACGGCGUCACCCUGGAAGGUGAGUUCAUUCAGCUGAUCAGAGGUCACCUCUGAUGGCUGCAGUCACGGCCGACCGUGCUGACAUCACACAGGAAUUCAGGUGACCCGGCAGGCACCAGGUGCUGGUGAAAGUGGGGACAUGUCAGCUGGUUGCCAUGGCUACAGUUAUCUUUAUGCAUCUGUAUGACUGCUGACUGGUGUGUGUUUCCUGUGACCUUUGACCUCAGACCGUACGGUUGGGCGUUCAGACGAUGGCUAACUUUAAUUCC